GUGUGCAGAGCGAGGAGCCUUCCCUCCCUCCCCAAGCGGCUCCACAACCCCAGUCUUCUGGUCCCCCUCCUCAGCCUAAGGGGUGUCGUUUCCGCAAAUUCACCCACCCGGUGGGGAGCUUUGUUUUAAGCGAGGGCCCUGGCUUGCACGCGCUCGCCCACCUCGCAGUCUCGCCGGCAAGCGGCUGUUUGUUCCUGUGUCGUCUUAGCAAAGUUUCAAACCUACUAUAUUAGAAAAUGACUGGCUUGCCUAGCACGGCGAAGCUCCGGACCCCUCUGAGGAAGAGGAGAUUUUGACGGUUAACAUUAGGAGAGAUGUUGGCUGGACUGGGUUUGUGUUCCUGUGGUUUGCUGUUGUUUUUAUUGUUUCCCUCCAGUUUAAAGGCGGUGGGGGGGGUGCUCAAAUUCUGUUUAAGAAGCAGGAAGAUUCACUUGCAGUAGAGCUCUGAGCGAGUGCGUGACACCAUUUCCCCUUUUCAUUGAGUUCUUCAGAGCAGAUUCCAGGGGGUUCCUUCCGAAACCACAUCUUAAAACACACAUUAAAAAGCCAGUUUUGCAGCUGCUUUCCCUGGGUGCCAAUGGAGAGGAAAGCAAGCAGAAGAAGAAAAAUCUGGCAUCCAGAACCAAACCAGCCUUGAGUGUCUGGACCAUGUACAGUUUCCACAAAGAAGGUCAAAAAGGGCUGAAAGAAAAGGUGUAUCAAAGAUCUUCACAGCUAGAGCAAAGUAGAGGACUGAGGAAAUUACCUAUGUAAUUUCAGCGAUGAGCCUGCCUUUAUCUGCAUCAUCCAGGAGUGCCGUAUCCUGUCUGUGGAGCUCUGACCUGCGGGCCCAUGAGGAGAGAGAGGGAGAGGAACUGGUACUCUCCUAGGCUGAGGUUUGCCUGUGAAAUGAAAUUUUCUCCAGAAACAGUUCUGUCUCUAAAAAGAAUGCAAAAGGAAUAUGAGAAGGGGAAGAAGAAAAAAAGGAGGAAAGCCUCUGAUGGAUUUCCAGGGGUUCAAAGCCUGAAAGACUGAUUUCCAUGGCAGCCUCGACCCCUAAAGUAAUGCCUGAGGAAUAUAUUUCCAAAGGCACACGCCUCGCAAAAAAAAAACACCAACAAAAUUCCUUGAGGAUUUAUAAGCUCUGUAAGAGCUCCCGGACAACGGCUUUCCCCAACACCUGGAAAUUAUCAAGCUUGCUGCUUGCUGAAUGAUGCUAACAGCUCUAACGCUGCAAAUUCAUUUUUAACAACUCACUGGCUUUUAUCUAGGAUUUGUGUGUGCGUGUGCGUGUGUGUGCGUGUGCACACGUGCCUUUCUUUAAGAAAAAUCUACCAAAGCAACGGAUGGUAUCAAAGAUACCAAAAUCAAAUCUGACUUGAAUAUCCCACAUCUCUACACCCAUCCCCAUUAUG